UACGGGGGGAGCAAGCGUUGUUCGGAUUUACUGGGCGUAAAGGGCGCGUAGGCGGCGUGACAAGUCACUUGUGAAAUCUCUGGGCUUAACCCAGAACGGCCAAGUGAAACUGUUGUGCUAGAGUGCAGAAGGGGCAAUCGGAAUUCUCGGUGUAGCGGUGAAAUGCGUAGAUAUCGAGAGGAACACCUGAGGUGAAGACGGGUUGCUGGGCUGACACUGACGCUGAGGCGCGAAAGCCAGGGGAGCAAACGGG
rnacentral:rRNA from 1 species